UACAGGGGGGGCAAGCGUUGUUCGGAAUUACUGGGCGUAAAGGGUCUGUAGGUGGCCAACUAAGUCAGACGUGAAAUCCCUCAGCUUAACUGGGGAACUGCGUCUGAUACUGGAUGGCUCGAGUGUGGGAGAGGAAUGCGGAAUUCCGGGUGUAGCGGUGAAAUGCGUAGAUAUCCGGAGGAACACCGGUGGCGAAGGCGGCUUCCUGGACCGAUACUGACGCUGAGGCGCGAAAGCUAGGGGAGCAAACGGG
rnacentral:rRNA from 1 species